AUGCAUGUUGUGAGCAGAAAAGCUAAGUAUUAUUUUGCCUUUUACUAAAGAAUAUCGUGUGCUUGCCAUAUAUAGUGGCAUGCACUUAUUUUUAGAGAGUCCUUUCUUAUACUUAAGGGCU